rfam:Myotis lucifugus cont2.32707, whole genome shotgun sequence.
GGUGGUUCUUUGGUGACGUACCCGGAAUCAGGCUCCCUCCCCUCGGGUUCUGGGUGUAUCACCCAAAAACCACA